UCACCCCCUCCUCUCUCUCCUCUUCGCUCAAUCUCGCUCUCCUCGUCUCUGAUGCGGGCAGGGCGAUGGCGCGGCACAAGCAGGCUACGGCGUCGGCGUCGGCCCUCCUCCUCCGCCGCCCUCCCUCGGCUGCCUCUCAUCUCUGUUUCUCCCUCCCAUUCCUCUAUCUACCCUUCUCGCACGAGGCGGUAGCAGGCGCGAGGCGGCGGCAGGCGUGACGAGACGGCGGCCCCUGCGGGUAGAGCGCCAGUGCGGUUGGGGCCUGGUGGCCACCUCCCUCUCCCUCAUCAUUCGCGUGGGAUCCUCAAUGUCUUAUCCCGCCGAGGAACGGGCGCUCCUCUGGUUGCCAAAACCCUAGCUACCUAUAUGCGUGCUACAAAUUGGUUACAUGCUUGUUACCUCCUCUGAUCUGGUUUCGUUAUUGUUUUUCAGGAUUGAUUUCAGCUUGUUUUCUUUCCUUCCUCGUCUAUGAUUGUUCAGGUACAAAGAAAGGGAGUUUCAGCAUGUUCAAGACAACAUGUGUAUAAUUCCUGUUAUUUCCUAUGGCUGAUUCCACAGUUUGGUUGAGGUACAUUACUGUGAUUACAGACAAUUUUAGAGAUCCAUUAAUUACUGCGAUUACAUAGAAUUUUAGAGAUUCAACUUUACUUAGAAAAUACAAAUUUAUGCAAUAGAUAGUACAAUGGCCUAAUUGGAAUUAUUUUUGCACAAAAUGACCAAUAGGAGAUGGCUGUCCACCUUAAUCCGGUUGCCAUCAAGUAGCCGGGGGGGGGAAUAAAAAAAACUCUACAUAAUUAGUUGUUAAGAACGUCUAAUUCAAUACCGAAAAUAUUCAGUGUAAGUCAAAUUAGGCAAUGUGCAUGUCUCUGUUAGGUAGUUUUUUCAGUUGUUAUGGAAGGAAAGUAAAGUUUGGUUAUGGCUGCACCGUGUAUUAUGUGGUUUAUUUGAUUUUCAUGUGUACUUGCACUUACUUGCAUUGUCCCAUUUUUUCACUAUAGAUGGUUUAUUUGAUUUGAUCCAAAAAUUUAAGCUUGCAAAAGGAUCCUGUACAAGCAGACAACCAAUACUCCAGCUAAAGAUGAAAAACGAGUUAAUUGGAUCUGAUUAUCUGAGACAUGACUGUUCUGUCCAUAUUGUGGAUGUUGGCUUCGUCCUGCUAUUAUGCUCCCAUCCUCUGGAGAAUCAGGUCACUGUCAUUUUUUUUGUUUCUAAUUUUGUAUUUCUCAUGUUAAUAUGUUAUUUAUAUUUCAUUUUCUUCAGCCGGGACCUUAUCAGCAACACAACUCUGAAUUAUAGUCACAAUCUGUUGGUGUUGCAGCAUGAGGAAUGUUUUUUUUGACUUUGUAUUUUGAUGAUUAUUAUAUAUUAAGUGGCCACAAAGGUCAAAAAACCUGAUGCUCUGCUAAUCAUGGAUGAGGUUGACAGUAUGACUGCUGGAGAUAGGGGUGGUGUUGCUGAUCUUGUUGUUUGCAUCGAGAUAUCCAAAAUUCCUAUUUUCUGCAUUUUAAAUGACCUUCAUGGUGAGAAAUUGAAGAGCAUUGUUAAUUGCUGCCUGAUGCUCAAAUUCAACAAACCAAAGAAACAACAGGUGUCCUCCCCAUCUGCACAUGGAAUCUCUUUGUUACUAAUUUAUGGCGAAGAUUUGUCUAUCCAUGUUUAUUUAACAAAGAUACAUAUAGUUGCUACAUGAUUAACAAUAAUAAGGAUACUUCAUAAUAGGUAAAAAAAUGAAUGUCCCAAUGGCUGUUGUCCUCAUUUUUUCAUGCAGUAGCUUCGUCUUCUUCUUCUAUCUCGAAUAUUUUAGAUUUAUCUGUUUUUCUUCAGAUGUAUUUGUGUUGCUCUUUAUGUUCCUGCUUGGUCAGUCCCCACGUGCUCUCUCCUCCUUUUCAUUGUGUUGGUUCUAACAGAUGACUUAGGCUGCAAGAAUUUGGGUCUCUAUUUCUUUCCUCUCUUACUAAUAUAGUUGAUUUGACACAGCAAAUAAGCUAUUCCCCUUGCCAUACAAGAUGCUAAAUUCCCGGUGCUUCUCUAGUCUGCCAUCAAUGUGAGGUACCUGCAAACAAUAUGGGAGCUUCCAUCUGUGCUUUGAUUGCCCGAUGAGCAUGUUGUUAGUGCACAUUCAAUAAGGCCGGUGAUUUUGUGCGAUUUGGUCUAUAGUUUGUUGCUUCAUCCAUUCCCUCAGUAUGCAUACUUUGUGUUCUGCAGCUUGCUGCAUUGGGCACAAUUUGGUCUAGAGGUGUGAUUUUCUGUUUACAAGAUCCACUAGAAUGAGGAUGUUGCUUCUCCAUAGAUUCGUCCAGUUGGCAGAUCACUGAUUCAUUCGCUGACCCCUACGAAUCCAAAUGUUUGUGAAGGCAUAGAAGAACUAGACCAAGUCCUUCCACCUAACGUAGUAAACUACCAGUAUAUGUAAUUUUUACCUGCACAUUGUACCGUAUGCAUAUACCUAUACAAAUGUACUAUACCCAUCGUGUACAUGUAUAUCUCCAUCACCAUGGUCUUAUUAUGGGCAUUA